ACCGUGCCCGAUCUUUCUUCUUUAUAGCAACAUUAGUGUUCCCAUGAUGUCUCUGAUGAAACCAUUUUCCUAUGGUUCCCAUCUUUCUAGAAGGUAUGAUCUUACCUGUCUGCAAAAGUAAGAGUAGAAAAAUUAGAGCUUGUAGAGGAUAGGCCGGCCAAAACACAGUACAACAAUGAAGUCGCUCCAUCGUUUAUGUUUUAUACUACCCAAAAUCAGAGUAAAACGAGGAAUAUAUUCUUAACAGAACAUCAAAUUAAACCCUAACCCAAAAAAAAAAAA
rnacentral:lncRNA from 1 species